AUUGAACGCUGGCGGCAGGCUUUACACAUGCAAGUCGAGCGAGAGGCGGACGGGGGUGUGAUGUAUAGGGACUGCCCGAUAUAGGGGGAUAAAUACUGGAGAAGGAAGCUAUUACCCCAUACACUCUGAUAAGCCAUAUGGGAUUAGAUAGUAGGUGAGGGAAUGGCUCACCGAGGCGCCGAUCCCUAGCUGGUGUGAGAGGGUGACCAGCCCCACUGGGACUGGUACACUGCCCAGACUCCUACGGAGGCAGCAGUGGGGACUAUUGCACAAUGGGCGAAAGCCUGAUGCAGCCAUCCCGCGUGUAUGAAGAAGGCCUUAGGGUUGUAAAGUACUUUCAGUCGAGAGGCGUUACCGACAGAAUAAGCACCGGCUAACUCCGUGCCAGCAGCCGCGGUAAUUC
rnacentral:rRNA from 1 species